AUUAGUCUGGCCUGACUCAUGUGCCCACCCUCUUGGAGCUGGGACUUGACAAACAUGGACUGACAAUGGGGGAGGGCUGUUUUCUCCAAAUGAAGAGAUGAUUCCAUUACUAGAAGAAGGGACACUGGGCAGGCCAAAACAAAAGAUAUUCAUCAUCUCUCUUCCCUUUUGUGGUGGGUCAGAUGCCCCUGGGAUGGAACCCUGUUGGAAUGUGUGACCCCAGGCUUACAGCUGCUACCACUCUUCAAUUUAUGCUCAAGGAAAGGAUAGAGCUUGCUUCGCUCAGCAAGGUGUGGUGGGGAGGGGCUGCUUAGAAGUGGACUAUGGAAGGGAAUCCAUCAAAGGGAAGUUCCUGUUUCCCUGCAGUUAAUUGAGACUCCUGGAUCUUGUGGUUUCAGACCAUCCCAGCUGCAAUGGUGCAUAGAAAGAGCCCAAGCAAUUCAAACAUCCAUACACAGGUGCCCAGCAUGGUCAGGUGGCCUCCUGGGAGGAUCUAACAAUUGGGCCAGAAAGAGACACCUCCCAUGGAAUAAAAUGAGGUAGGUAACAGUCUCUGAUGAUUUAAUUGCUUCUUUACAUGCACGAGCAUGG